CUUCAGCACAUCCUUCAGGGCCUGGCCGAUGUACAUCACCAUCUGGAGGAGAGGAGAGAAUGAGAAGAGAGAAGAGGAGGAGAAUAUAAGGGCAGAGGACAGGAAAAGAGGAGGCGGAGAGGAGGGUGACUUACAGUCCAGAUGUUGACAAGGCGUCUGCAGAGGAAGGGGUCCAGGUUCCAGUGUAAGCAAGGAGGGAAGGUGAUGUAGAAGACCUCGUGACCCAGCCCGGCCGACACCAGGAACAGGAAGUAUAGCAGCCGGUUCCUCACCUCAUACUGGGGACUAGCAGACACCUGUGGGCACUUCUAUUUCCAGGAGUCACCAUCAGGACCGUCAAUGUGUGAUGGAGGGAAAAGAGAAACAGAAGCACGUCUGAUCCAGUUGUGACAUCAUCCUCAUCCGCGCCAGCUUCAUCGUGAUGGUGUCGACAGAGAUGUCAGCAUAGCGAAUAGCUCUGAAGCAACUCUGCACUAUUUUGUUUGUUUAUGUACUAUUUUUUUACGUUAUUAGCUCAAUAAUUGUUUUGUGUCAUACACACAGCCGGGAAGAACUUUUGGAUAUUAGAGUGUGGAUAACUCACCAGAACUUCUAGCAUUACAACCCGGAUUACGACUUCUCUGGAGCGGAUCCCUUGUUUGCUCUCCCCAGAGCAAUCUAACUUAUUCCGGAUGCUGACCCAAAACCACGCCGGAGAAGGAGAGGUACUCGAGGCGGUCUUCUGGUCUGACUUAAGAAGCAUGCACACCACCCACCGCUCCUGAGUAUUUUACACGCUAAUGUCCAAUCUCUGGAUAAUAAAAUUGAUGAGCUCAAGGCGAUAGUUUCUUUUCAGAGAGACACCAGGGAUUGUAACGUACUCUACUGCACGGAAAAAUGGCUUUCUCAAGAUAUACUGUCUGACAUGGUAAAACCAGUUGGUUUAUCAGUACAUCGCGCCGACAGGAACAAACAUCUCUCUGGGAAGCAGAAGGGUGGAGGUAUAUGUUUUAUGAUUAAUCACUUAUGGUGUCACUGUUCUGUUCACCCGAUCUAGAAAAUCUCACAAUUAAAUGCAGAGCGUACAAUCUCCUGAGAGAAUUUUUGUCAAUAAUAGCAACUGCGGUCUAUAUCCUCUCCAAGCGGAUACCACAAAGGCCCUCAAAGAACUUCACUGGACUUUAUGCAAACUGGAAUCCAUAUAUCCUGAGGCUGCAUUGUCACGUUCGCUGGAAUAAUUAUCGGACCAAGCUGCAGCGCGAUAUGGUUUCCACAUAUUAUUUAUUAGAAACGCACAAAACAACAAAGAAAGAAUGAAACAAACAACGAACUGUAACAAUAACGUGUAACAUACACUAACUCAAAACAAUAUCCCAUAAAAAUGUAAAAAAUGCUCUUUAUCUAUUAUCCCCAAUUAGAGACAACGAGAGCCAGCUGCCUCUAAUUGGGAAUCAUACCAAAUACCAACAUAGAAAAAAUUAACUAGAACCCCACAUAGAAAAUAAUAACUAGAAAACCCCUCAGUCACGCCUUGACCUACUAUACCAUAGAAAAUAAGGGCUCUCUAUGGUCAGGACGUGGCAUGCAUUUAUUGUAGCUGGGGAUUUGAACAAAGCACAUUUUUGGAAAAGGGUCCCGAAAUUCUAUCAACAUAUGAAUUGUUGUGCUCGCGCUGCUAAAACCCUCGACCAUUGUUAUACUACCUUCCAGAAUGCAUAUAAGGCCCUCCCUCACCCUUCAUUCAUCAAAUUGGACCAAAAUUCCAUCUUGCUCCUCCCCUCCUAUAAGCAGAAACUCAAACAGGAAGCACCUGUGGUGAGGACUAUUCAAUGCUGGUCUGACCAAUUGGAAUCCACACUUCAAGAUUGUUUUGAUCACGUGGACUGGGAUAUGUUCAGAGUAGCUUCAGAAAAUAAUAUUGACACAUAUACCGAUACGGUGAAUGAGUUUAUCAGGAAAUGCAUAAGAGAUGAUGUACCCACUGUGACUAUUAAAACCUACCCCAGCCAGAAACCGUGGACAGAUUGGAGCAUUCAUGCAAAACUGAAAGCGUGAAACACCACAUUUAACCAGGGCAAGAAGACUGGGAAUAUGGAAGAAUACACACAGUGUAGUUAUUUCCUCCACAAAGCAAUCAAGCAGGCUAAACGUCGGUAUAGGGACAAAGUUGAGUCCCAGUUCAAAGGCUCAGACACGAGACGUAUGUGGCAGGUUCUACAGACAAUCACAGAUUAUAAAGGGAAAACCAACCACGUCGCGGACACCGACGUCUUGCUUCCGGACAAGCUGAAAACCUUCUUCGCUCCAUAGUACUGUGCCACCGACGCAGCCCGCUAAUCAAGGACUGUGGGCUUGUCUUCUCUGUGGCCGACGUGAGUAAGACAUUUAAGCGUGUUAACCCUUGCAAGGCUGAUGGUAUCCCUUGCCGUGUCCUCAGAGCAUGCGCAGACCAGCUGUCUGGUGUGUUCACAGAUAUAUUCAAUCUCUCCCUAUCCCAGUCUGUUGUCCCCACAUGCUUCAAGAUGACCACCAUAGUCUCUGUACCUAAGAAAGCAAAGGUAACUGAACUAAAUGACUAUCGCCCAGUAGCACUCACCUCUGUCAUCAUGAAGUGCUUUGAGAGACUAGUCAAGGAUCAUAUCACCUCUACCUUACCUGCCACCCUAGACCUGCUUCAAUUUGCUUACCACCCCAACAGAUCCACAGACAAUGCAAUUGCCACCACACUGCACACUGCCCUGUCCCAUCUGGACAAGAGGCAUACAUAUGUAAGAAUGCUGUUCAUUGACUAUAGCUCAGCAUUCAACAAAAUAGUACCCUCCAAGCUCAUCAUCAAGCUCGAGGCCCUGUGUGAACCCCACCCUAUUUAACUGGGUCCUGGACUUCCUGACAGGUCGCCCCCAGGUGGUGAAGGUAGGAAACCACACCUCCUCUUCGCUGAUCCUCACCCCACAAGGGUGCAUGCUCAGCCCCCUCCUGCACUCCCUGUUCACCCAUGACUGCGUGGCCAAGCACGCCUCCAACUCAAUCAUCAAAUUUGCAGACGACAGAACAGUAGUAGGCUUGAUUACCAACAAUGAUGAGACCGCCUGUAGGGAGGAGGUGAGGGCUCUGGGAGUGUGGUGCCAGGAAAAUAACCUCUCACUCAAUGUCAACAAUACUAAGGAGAUGAUUGUGAACUUCAGGAAACAGCAGAGGGAGCACCCCCCUAUCCACAUCAAUGGGACAGCAGUGGAGAAGGUGGAAAGCUUCAAGUUCCUUCGCGUACACAUCACUGACAAACUGAAAUGGUCCACCCACACAGAUAGUGUGGUGAAGAAGGCGCAACAGUGCCUCUUUAACCUCAGGAGGCUAAAGAAAUGUGGCUUAAAACCUUAAACCCUUACAAACUUUUACAGAUGCACAACCGAGAGCAUCUUGUCGGGCUGUAUCACUGCCUGGUACAGCAACUUCCCCGCCCACAAGUGCAAAUCUCUCCAGAGGGUGGUGCGAUCUGCCCAGUUCAUUACUGGGGGCAAACUUUCCACCCUCCAGGACAGCUACAGCACCCGAUGCCAUAGGAAGGACAAAAAUAUCAUCAAGGAUAUCAACCACCCGAGGCACUGCCUGUUCACCCCGCUAUCAUCCAGAAGGCAAGGUCAGUACAGAUGCAUCAAAGCUGGGACCGAGAGACUGAAAAACAGCUUCUAUCUCAAGGCCUUCAGACUGCUAAACGGCCAUCAUUAGCACAUCAGGAGUGGCUACCUAUAGACAUAGAUUAGGAAUCAUUGGCCACUUUUAGAAAUGGAUCACUAGCCACUGUAAUAAUGUUCCAUAUCUAGCAUUGCUCAUCUCAUAUGUAUUAACUGCACUCCACACUAUUCUAUAGUGUCUUAGUCAUUUUUAAAUUGUGUUGACAUACUGCAUCAUCCAUUUCAUAUGUAUAUACUGUAUUGUAUUCUAUACUACACCACUGACUGUUAAACAGCCAUCUCCAGCACAUCAGAGGCUGCUGCCUAUAGACAUAGAUUAGGAAUCACUGGCCACUUUAAGGAAAUGAAACACGAGCCACUUUAAUAAUGUCUCCGUAUCUUCCAUCACCCAUCUCAUAUGUAAACUGUAUUCUAUACUGUUCUACGGUUUCUUAGUCACUUUAAUUGUUUGUAAAUAUUGCAUCACCCAUCUCAUAUGUAAACUGUAUUCUAUACUGUUCUACGGUUUCUUAGUCACUUUAAUUGUUUGUAAAUAUUGCAUCACCCAUCUCAUAUGUAAACUGUAUUCUAUACUGUUCUACGGUUUCUUAGUCACUUUAAUUGUUUGUAAAUAUUGCAUCACCCAUCUCAUAUGUACAUACUGUAUUCUAUACUAUGUGACUGUAUCUUAGUCACUUUAAUUGUUUGUAAAUAUUCCAUCACCCAUCUCAUAUGUACAUACUGUAUUCUAUACUGUUCUACGGUUUCUUAGUCACUUUAAUUGUUUGUAAAUAUUGCAUCACCCAUCUCAUAUGUACAUACUGUAUUCUAUACUAUGUGACUGUAUCUUAGUCACUUUAAUUGUUUGUAAAUAUUCCAUCACCCAUCUCAUAUGUACAUACUGUAUUCUAUACUGUUCUACGGUUUCUUAGUCACUUUAAUUGUUUGUAAAUAUUGCAUCACCCAUCUCAUAUGUACAUACUGUAUUCUAUACUAUGUGACUGUAUCUUAGUCACUUUAAUUGUUUGUAAAUAUUCCAUCACCCAUCUCAUAUGUACAUACUGUAUUCUAUACUGUUCUACGGUUUCUUAGUCACUUUAAUUGUUUGUAAAUAUUGCAUCACCCAUCUCAUAUGUAUAUACUAUAUUCUAUACUAUGUGACUGUAUCUUAGUCACUUUAAUUGUUUGUAAAUAUUGCAUCACCCAUCUCAUAUGUAUAUACUGUAUUCUAUACUAUGUGACUGUCUCUUAGUCCAAUGCUGCUCUGACACAUGUGUAUAUAUGUUCUCAAUCCUUUCCUUACUUAGAUUUACAUGUUUUUUGGGAUAUAUGUUGUGAAACUGUUAGAUAUUACUGCACUGUCGGCGCUAGAAGCACAAGCAUUUCGCUACACUGCAACCAAUAAAAUCUGAUUUGAUUUGAAGGCCUUCAGCGGUCCUCAUCAGGUUGGAACUACUUUCGA